rnacentral:rRNA from 1 species
GACGAACGCUGGCGGCGUGCUUAACACAUGCAAGUCGAACGAAGUGGCGAACGGGUGAGUAAAGCGUAAUCAACCUGCCCUUCAGAGGGGGACAACAGUUGGAAACGACUGCUAAUACCGCAUACUGAAGGAGGGGAUUGCGUCUGAUUAGCUAGUGGGAGGGGUAACGGCCCACCAAGGCGAUGAUCAGUAGCCGGUUGGAGAGGAUGAUCAGCCACAUGGGAACUGAGACACGGCCAAACUCCUACGGGAGGCAGGAGUGGGGGAACUUUCGCAAUGGACGAAAGUCUGGCGGAGCAACGCCGCGUGAGUGGUGAUGGCCUUCGGGUUGUAAAGCUCUGUUAAUCGGGACGCGGUACCGGAAUAGAAAGCCACGGCUAACUACGUGCCAGCAGCCGCGGUAAUUC